rnacentral:misc_RNA from 1 species
GAUGAAGAACGUAGCGAAAUGCGAUAAGUAAUGUGAAUUGCAGAAUUCAGUGAAUCAUCGAAUCUUUGAACGCACAUUGUGCCCGCCAGUAUUCUGGCGGGCAUGCCUGUUCGAGCGUCAUUUCAACCCUCAAGCCCCCGGGCUUGGUGUUGGGGAUCGGCGUGCCCUCGCGGCGCGCCGUCCCCUAAAUCUAGUGGCGGUCUCGCUGUAGCUUCCUCUGCGUAGUAGCAACACUCGCACUGGAUCGCAGCGCGGCCACGCCGUUAAACCCCCCACUUCUGAAAGUUUGACCUCGGAUCAGGUAGGAAUACCCGCUGAACUUAAGCAUAUCAAUAAGCGGAGGA